AUUGAACGCUGGCGGCAGGCCUAACACAUGCAAGUCGAACGAGUGGCGGACGGGUGAGUAAUGUCUGGGAAACUGCCCGAUGGAGGGGGAUAACUACUGGAAACGGUAGCUAAUACCGCAUACCAUCGGAUGUGCCCAGAUGGGAUGAGCUAGGAGGUGGGGUAACGCCUCACCUAGGCGACGAUCCCUAGCUGGCCUGAGAGGCUGACCAGCCACACUGGAACUGGGACAAGGUCCAGACUCCGACGGGAGGCAGCAGUGGGGAAUAUUGCGCAAUGGGCGCAAGCCUGAUGCAGCCAUUCCGCGUGGAUGAAGAAGGCCUUCGGGUUGUAAAGGAUUUUCAGCGAGGAGGCGUUACUCGCAGAAGAAGCACCGGCUAACUCCGUGCCAGCAGCCGCGGUAAUUC
rnacentral:rRNA from 1 species